CACAAUGCUUACUUUUGAUGUCGCGUGUCUCCUUUUAGCGUGAAGUCAGUAAAACUGCGAACUCUUUUGGACAAGAGGACACCCGAUCUCGCAUCUCGCCACGAACUCUGCGCGGAGCGGUGCGGAGGAAUUCUGGUUUCGGUGUGACGUGGCACCGGGAUUGGACCGCCAGAGAUGUCACGGGACGAAGAAAGCGGAACCGGAUUGGCUGGCUGUCGGUUCGGAAAUCCUAAGGAUGUGUUUGCGCACAAACUCCGGAGCCUUGAACUUCUUGCCGCUCAGAGGGCACAGCCACUUGUCUUUGCUGAGCUCCUGAGUGUUGGCCGCCAGGAACUUCUCCACCUGCGAAAGGAACGCCGUCGACGCUGA